UCUACCAAAGGAUAAAAGUUAUUCCAAUGGUCUUAGGCACCAAAACUCUUGGUGCAAGUCCAAGUGGUAGA
rnacentral:tRNA from 1 species